UGUGUGUUGGAGGAUGAAAAUAUGGAAUGAUCAUCGGCUAGCGUUUUACACUAUGCCUGACUCGAAUGCUGACGCCCACG
rnacentral:snoRNA from 1 species